AUUGAACGCUGGCGGCAGGCCUAACACAUGCAAGUCGAGCGAGCGGCGGACGGGUGAGUAAUGUGUGGGAAACUGCCUGACGGAGGGGGAGAACUACUGGAAAAGGUAGCUAAAACCGCCAACCAUCGGAGGUGCCCAGAUGGGAUUAGCUAGUAGGUGGGGGAACGGCUCACCUAGGCGACGAUCCCUAGCUGGUCUGAGAGGAGGACCAGCAACCCGUGAACUGUGACACGGUCCAGACUCCUACGGGAGGCAGCAGUGGGGAAUAUUGCACAAUGGGCGCAAGCCUGAUGCAGCCAUGCGGCGUGUGUGAAGAAGGCCUUCGGGUUGUAAAGCACUUUCAGCGGGGAGGCGUUACCCGCAGAAGAAGCGCCGGCUAACUCCGUGCCAGCAGCCGCGGUAAUUC
rnacentral:rRNA from 1 species